CUCCAGCGCCUGCAGCACCUCCUUCACCUCCUCCUUGGCCAGCUGGUUCUCCGUUUGCAGCCGGCACAGCUCCUCCUGGGAGGGACGUGGGGUCAGAUCUAUUCUUGUCUUCCAGCUGUUUGUACAGGUUGCUGAUGUCCUCCUCGUAUUUGCUCCGCUCGUGGCAACAAUAUUAUUUGACUUUUCUUUCACAAAGCUGAACUGUACCUGUAGGUCUGUCUUGAUGAGCGAGGCUCCUGCUUGGACCAGAUAAUGACAGAUAGUUCUUUGACACAGGGACGCAGCUCGAUGAAGGACCGUCUCCCCCCUGGUCAACAGAAGAGAGAGAGAGAGUGCGUCAGAUUACAACAUCUGACAACAUCACCCGAGGAACAGACAUCAACGGUGUCCGCUGCUUCUUUUGGUGUCUUGUGUUUAUGAUGGCACAUAUAUCAUCACAUAUAGACUGAACAGAGAUCAGAGCACAGAUACAGACACAGCAUCAUCAUCUACACUCCGUUAACAUUUAAAUAAAGUGUUUAGCAUUUUAAA